UGGGGUAUAGCCAAGUGGUAAGGCAACGGGUUUUGAUCCCGUGAUGCGCUGGUUCGAACCCAGCUAUCCCAACUA
rnacentral:tRNA from 1 species